UCAUUUUCUGAGACCGGAAGUGGUCAUCAGCAAGUGUGGAGCCAAACGACAACAAGAUUCUCAGAGGGCGGAGCCAGAGAGCAGUGAUUGGUCAGACCAUAGAUAAUAUAGAAGACAGCGCGCUAGCGGAUCUAGUCUUCUCUGUAUGGUAGCAUCUCUGGCUGCUGUUGACCUUGUUUUUGGAGUAAAACACGGUGGAAGCUGAAUUAGUGAGGAUGACUCCUGCUCCUGUCAUCUCUAAGCUCCUUACACAUCUUUACCUGCACAUGAGGAAAUUCACUCCUGUAGAAUGCAGAUGUUCAGAGGGAGAUGAUGCCACAUCUGGUCCAGCUGAUGGAAGGUCUUGAAGUUCUCUGACUGGCCUGGACUGAAGAUGGUCCUCUCAUUGGAUUUAAGGUUCAGAUGCUCAGUAACAAACUCCACCAAUGUGCCAACAGGGAAGCUUUAGGUUUAUUAAAUGUUGCUAUGAAGGUAUCGCUGUUUUUCUUUGUGAAUGCAAUGUGCUCCAACUGAAACUUGAAUUAGAACUUAGAAGUAAAUCCUUCCAUCUGAAAGGAUCUAGUUGUAUUAAUAACCUCAUAACAUUCUAAUUUUUAUUCCAGUCUUGGUUGGAAAUAGAAUCUCUGUAUUGAUUCAGGUAAAAACUGAACUUCACAGCAUGUUGGAGCAGAACAACCAGAUGAAAACUGUGAUGGUGUUGGAUUGUCAGACCGUAAUGUUGCAGCUCAAAGCAGCUUUUCUAGCUCAGUUCAUUCUGACAUUCAGCUAUGAAUCAACACAGCAGAUGGUGAUCCAUGCUGUGGAAGUCUCACAUCUCCUGAUUUAAUGGAGCUGCUUUGCACUUUUUACAGUUUAUUCACCAACACUUUAUUUAAUAAAAGUCCCAUCUAGUUUUUAUGAGGAAUGUGAUGUUUUAAUUUCUCUGUGAAUAACUGCAGUCUAAUGUAACAGCUGGAGUUGUAACAUCUGUCCUGAUAUUGAUCAUGAAGUAUUGAUCAGAAUACUGAUGGUCAGCAGUCAUCCCUGAAGUUUUACAUUGAAAUCUUUACUUGUGUUGUGAACUUUGGUAAGAAGCAGAAACUUCAGCGUUGCCAUGGAUACAUGAGUGUUAAAUUCUGUCCAUGUUUCCAUUUUGGGAAAUUCAGUCCAGCAGAUGAGUUUGUUUUUACUGCCAGCUACCAUUCAGUCUGAGAUAUUAAGAAUAAAUAAAUGGGCAUAAUGUGGAAAUGAACAGAUUUUAUUUUUAUUUAUUCCUACAGGUGAUGCAGUUAAAGUUCCAGAAUGUGGAGGAAUUUAGUCUCACAAUCACAGACAACAAAUAUUAUCUGAAAGUUGGGUUAUUGUUGUUUAUCAGCAGAAUACAAAAAGAUUCAUGUUAGAAAUAUUCCAGUUAAUACUCUAGAAUAUCAUGAUUUAUGUAACUUUACCUCAGUAUUAUAAAUGUUCAGGUUAAGAUUGUGCAGUGAUAUUUAUUAUGUAAGUUUAGCUGAUUAAAGUUUAUGACUCUGCACUACAAUGUUAUUUAUUUAAAUUUACAUCAUUAUUAUAUUUAGGGUCAGACCCUACAGUAUUGAGAUUAAGAGAUCAAAUAUUCUAUAAAAUGUAAAUACACUGAACUCAUUUGGAUAUAUUUAAGUGAGACUCUACAAUAUUAUUCGACACAAAUCUGUAAAUCAAAAUUUUAAUCAUUUUUACGCCAAACAUUUACUGGACUGAUUUAAACAUUAAAAUCACUCCUUUCUAAUCCUCUGCUGUACGUUCAAACCUGAGGCCUGAAAUAGAAACACACAAGUAUCUGAUUGAAGGAACUUCUGCAGAGUCCUGGUUCCAGAACAUGAUGAUAGAAUUAUAGACAAACUUUAACAAAAGCUGCCUGAGAGUUUACAGGUUUUUAUGUUAGAUUUCCUCAGUAAUUUAAUGAGAGUUAUCAGCAAAAAUCAAGUUAUCAUUUGAUGAACUUCAUUUCCUAAAUCAUCCAGAAUUGGAGCUCAUAUCUUUGGCAGCUGUAAAGUUUCUGCUCCUUCAAAGUUCAUAACACAAUGAAUUAAUUCCUAAAACACUCUCAAUGCUGGAGAGUGUUUGAUGCUGAAGCAGCGACCAGUUUUUCUGUUUCUUCUCUGGAGAUGCACAAUGAGGGACGUCUGCAGAGACUGAGAAAGAGUCUCACCACAUCCUGACAUGAGGAAAAAGACUUUAUUGAAGACUACAAUGAGAAAAACUAUCAGACAGCAGACAGCUGCAUUCAAGGUGAGCUCUGAACAUUUGAUCUGGAACAGGAAUUCAAUCAUGGCAGCAUGAGCUUCAUUUCAGUCUGUAGCUGCUGAAUUCAUGGAUGAAUCAUCUGGCACUAGAGAGGAAGACUAUCAAACAUCCACGUCAGCUGAUGGAGGUCCAAGAGUCUCACCCAACAAACAACCUACAGAGGAAGACCUCAAAUCUGAUUGGACGGCCUCCUAUUCAGCCACGUGUGAACAAAUGCCUCUAAGUUGAUUUGUUUUCUAAAAUAAAUCUAGUUUGAGUCCUAA